GACGAACGCUGGCGGCGUGCUUAACACAUGCAAGUCGAACGGAAAGGCCCUGCUUUUGUGGUGUGCUCGAGUGGCGAACGGGUGAGUAACACGUGAGUAACCUGCCCUUGACUUUGGGAUAACUUCAGGAAACUGGGGCUAAUACCGGAUAGGAGCUCCUGCUGCAUGGUGGGGGUUGGAAAGUUUCGGCGGUUGGGGAUGGACUCGCGGCUUAUCAGCUUGUUGGUGGGGUAGUGGCUUACCAAGGCUUUGACGGGUAGCCGGCCUGAGAGGGUGACCGGCCACAUUGGGACUGAGAUACGGCCCAGACUCCUACGGGAGGCAGCAGUGGGGAAUAUUGCACAAUGGGAGGAAGCCUGAUGCAGCAACGCCGCGUGCGGGAUGACGGCCUUCGGGUUGUAAACCGCUUUCGCCUGUGACGAAGCGUGAGUGACGGUAAUGGGUAAAGAAGCACCGGCUAACUACGUG
rnacentral:rRNA from 1 species